GCCAGGAGGCCAGGACACACCCCUUCAUUUUCUAGUCCAUAACAUAAGGAGGUGGGGCCGCGUGAGUUCGAAAUUCUAGGUCCUGCCUUCCCAACCUCAGAAGCUCUGUAAUUUUUAUUUUUUUAUUUUCCUUCUAGGAAAAGAGACCUCUUCCUAUACCACAGACCUGGAGGUGCAGGAUGAGCGGGAUUAAGAGACUCCUCUGAACAGUGGUACAUCUCGGUGACUCCUUGCCUGCCAGGCCUUGCCACCCACACCUCUGACACCAUCCUCCAGCCUGUUCCUCCUGCUACAAGACUUCCUCUAAACACGGAGCCCCAUGAAAGGAUGAGGAAGCAGCCUGGCCCCAAGCUCAUGAAAUGAUGCCUCCUACAUUCAAAGUGGACCCCUCCCCUCCCCCCAGUUCAUCCCUUUUGGAAAAGCCCUCACAGUUCCAUUAGAAGGUGUACCUCACUGAUCCUCAGGCACCUGGGCAGCAGCUGUGGAGAGUGGUGUCCCCGAGGAGAGCAGAGAGAUCUCAGAGAGGCUCCCCUGGCAUUCUCCUUAGGCUGAGAACAUCCCCCACCCCGACCCCACCCCCCACAGGAAGAAAUUCAAAAGGGCAAAAGGAAACCAGGCUGUCACCCGAGUCAGCACAGUGACAAACUCGGGAAGAGCCCUCUGUCCCCCACUUUUCACCUUACUUCGUAAAAUGCUUCUUAUGAACAUCACCCGAGGAAACCCCAUGGCUGGUAAACACGUGGAGCCAGCGGCCGGCAUUGUGCAGACUGUAGAACCCCUCAGAAAAAACGGCACCACAACCAGUCACUUGAAGAUGCCUGCUCUCAAGGACUCAGGAUUUGGAAGUAAGACCCGUCAGCAAACAGACAGGGGAGCAGGCACAUAGAGAACAGCAUUGACAUGAAAACACGCCAAAAGAAUAUGGAAAGCCACCCUCUCCCAUCUCCUCUUUCUGUGCACCCUUCAAGUUGGUCUGCACACAGCCAGUGACUGGCAGCCCGUAAGUGAAGAAAGCUACCACUUACUACAUUUACCACUGGUUUUCAGGCUUCAGGAAUUCAUGUCUUGCACAUCAGCUGGCCGGGACACCCAUUACUAUCGGGAGAUGAUGAGUAUUUUUCUACCACGGGUCUAGAACUCUGACCAAAACUGGAUUCCACCAGUGGUGACUUCCUGCAUACUCAGCCCUGACCUCGGGGAGAUAUUCUACAGUCGCCAUGAUUCAUGGAUGGUUGAGUGAAUCGAUGGAUGAAUAUCUCCCCUGGCACACCAGAGGAGAUGGGCUGGAGACAGGACUCGGCAGCUAAGGGGACGCACUGCUCUUCCAGGCGACCUGAGUUUGGUUCCUAGCACACACAACUGCCUGUAACUCCAGCUCCAGAGGGACCUGGCACCUCUGGCCUCUCAGGGCAGCAGCACUCAUGUGCAAAUAGCCUCCUACCAACACCC